UGGCAUAUGAUAACUGAACCAUCUUGUUAGU
rnacentral:piRNA from 1 species